rnacentral:rRNA from 1 species
UAGCGGGAGGCUUAAUACAUGCAAGUCGAGCGGUAAGGUUUUCGGACCCUAGAGCGGCGAACGGGUGAGUAACGCGUACGAAACCUACCUUUAAGAGAGGAAUAGCCCUGAGAAACUGGGAGUAAUACCUCAUAGUAUUCAUUUUACCGCAUGGUUUAUGGAUUAAAGCUUAGGCGCUUAAAGAUGGUCGUGCGUCUGAUUAGCUAGUUGGUAGGGUAACGGCCUACCAAGGCUACGAUCAGUAGGGGCGUGAGAGCGUGGCCCCCCACACGGGUACUGAGACACGGACCCGACUCC